UACGUAGGGUGCGAGCGUUGUCCGGAAUUACUGGGCGUAAAGAGCUCGUAGGCGGUUUGUCGCGUUGUUCGUGAAAACUCACAGCUCAACUGUGGGCGUGCGGGCGAUACGGGCAGACUGGAGUACUGCAGGGGAGACUGGAAUUCCUGGUGUAGCGGUGAAAUGCGCAGAUAUCAGGAGGAACACCGGUGGCGAAGGCGGUUCUCUGGGCAUUACCUGACGCUGAGGAGCGAAAGUGUGGGGAGCGAACAGG
rnacentral:rRNA from 1 species